AAGGAUCAUUAUUGAAAUAAACCUGAUGGGUUGUUGCUGGUUCUCUAGGGAGCAUGUGCACGCUUGUCAUCUUUAUAUCUCCACCUGUGCACUUUUUGUAGACCUGGAUAAUCUUUCUGAAUGCACUUGCAUUUCAGGUUUGAGGAGUUGACUUAAUGGUCUCUCCUUACAUUUCCAGGCCUAUGUUUCUUCAUAUACCCCUAUGUAUGUUUCAGAAUGUAACAGGAUGGGCCUUUUGUGCCUAUAAAUUUAUACAACUUUCAGCAACGGAUCUCUUGGCUCUC
rnacentral:misc_RNA from 1 species